UUAGCCAGAGGUUAGCUCGAGGUAGGCUGCUACAAGCUGAAACAACAGCCAGAUACAGACAGACGGAGGUUACAAGAAGUGCAAAUGACUGCAAACUGGGGUAUAACCUCGUGGUAUAAAGCAAAAGACAGAAACACAUCGUCUGUAUGUCGUCUUCACAGCAGCUGGCUUCUCCCUCCUGCACAUCUUCGCUCUGAGCUUGGCAGCUUUUCGUCGACGAGUGCUAUUUAUUAGUGGAUUUGAGCUUUUAAACUUCAAUAUGUGCGGACACGGGGAGUCGUGGCCGGGGUUUCGAACUUGCAUCUGUUUUGAAGACGAUGCAAAAAGAGGGGAAGAAGAAGAAGAAGGAGGAGGAGGAGGAGAUGAAGUGGGAAACAGAAGGCCCCGGUUCAACAUUCGCUCCCACGUCUCGGACGCUUUUCAGCUGCAUGGAAGUUUCCAGAUUCUCUUCAGCCCAGCGAAGGAAAGGUCUCACACAGGGAAACACAAAGACGUUCUUCUUGUGCUUGUAUCAGACUUUUCAACCAAAUAAAGAUAAAUAUAAGCAUGUGUAUGAUCG